GGUAAUGGGCCAUUAGGGAAAACAAUAGGCCUUAGGAAAAGCUUAUCUUCCCCCGCUCCCAGCCUUCCUGAGAAUGUUUACUCUGACUCUGCAAGGUCAUGUGACCAGACCACAUGUCUCCGGACUCCAUUUUGGCUGCCUGCAUUUUUCCACAAGCUGGGCUGGGGACUGGUUUUGGAGCAAGGGGUUACCUUGCUAUAUAAGGGAGUGACACCCCCACAACUGAACACCUAAGAAAAGCCUCGAAAGAAAAGGGCUUGGAACGGGGGUGGGGAGCCCAAGCUGCAAAGCAAGAGCAGCUUGUGCCUUGAGAAUCUGCAAGCCAGAUUGUAUCAUCAGUCAGGCUCCACAGCAGUGCCCAGCAGCCAGGACCAGCAAUUGCAUGGAAAGUGCUGCUCAACCCUGGCAUGGAGCAUGCUCGGUUGCUCUGUGGUGCUGAUGCAGGGCAUGGUGAUCCUCCGUGGGACCGAGGGGCCUUUACACUCAGCGUCUCCACCUAGUGCUGGGUCAGCCACUGGUUAGUCAGCCCCUACAACCUCUGGCGUGUCGCACUUUAUUGUUAGGGGAACCCAGGACCAGCAGAUAAUGAAGAGAAACGACGUUUAUUCCCAGAAAAGAUCGGGGUGAAUUAAAAGAAGGAAACGGGACCCGACUCAUAACCAACCCACCAUGCCGCUCUAAGCACCAAAUGCCACAAACAGAGUAGCAAGGCCGCCUUGCCCCUGGCGCCUCCCCACUGCCUCAGCUGGCUGGUGGAGUGGGAGCUCCGGGAGAGGGGCUGGGAUCCCUUCUCUCGCUUCUGGGUGCAGUGGGUCCCUGGUGGAGUCAAGCCCUGGCUGCCCCUGGCUAAGGGUUGCCAACUUUCUCAUCACACAAGAGGGAACACGCUAGCUCUGCCCCUUCCCACCCCCUGCUCACAUUCCCUCUCCCUCUGGGGCUGGC